rnacentral:rRNA from 1 species
CCUACGGGAGGCAGCAGUGAGGAAUAUUGGUCAAUGGACGCAAGUCUGAACCAGCCAUGCCGCGUGCAGGAAGACGGCUCUAUGAGUUGUAAACUGCUUUUGUACGAGGGUAAACGCAGAUACGCGUAUCUGUCUGAAAGUAUCGUACGAAUACGGAUCGACUAACUACGUGCCAGCAGCCGCGGUAAUACGGAGGAUUCAAGCGUUAUCCGGAUUUAUUGGGUUUAAAGGGUGCGUAGGCGGUCGGAUAAGUUAGAGGUGAAAUCCCAAGGCUCAACUUCGGAAUUGCCUUUGAUACUGUUCGGCUAGAGAGUAGUUGCGGUAGGCGGAAUGUAUGGUGUAGCGGUGAAAUGCGUAGAGAUCAUACAGAACACCGAUGGCGAAGGCAGCCUACCAAGCUACUUCUGACGUUGAGGCACGAAAGCGUGGGGAGCAAACAGGAUUAGAUACCCCUGUAGUC